CAAUAGCGUAUAUUCAAGUUGUUGCAGUUAAAAAGCUCGUAGUUGGAUUUGUGGCGUACGGUGUGUUCCGGGCACUUGUUGUCUGAGUAACCUGCUGUUGCCAUCCUUGGGUGGAACCUGUGUGGCAUUAGGUUGUCGUGCAGGGGAUGCCCAUCAUUUACUGUGAAAAAAUUAGAGUGUUCAAAGCAGGCUUAUGCCGUUGAAUAUAUUAGCAUGGAAUAAUGAGAUAGGACUUUCUUGCUAUUUUGUUGGUUUGCGCAAAGAGGUAAUGAUUAAUAGGGACAGUUGGGGGUAUUCGUAUUCCAUUGUCAGAGGUGAAAUUCUUGGAUUUUUGGAAGACGAACUACUGCGAAAGCAUUUACCAAGGAUGUUUUCAUUAA
rnacentral:rRNA from 1 species